GGGCGAUGAUGAACAAUAACAUAUCUCGAUGCUUACGAUUCACUAAUGUGUUUCGUUGGUGACAAGCAUUUGUGCGUGUCUGAGCCCU
rfam:Picea glauca, whole genome shotgun sequence.